AUUGAACGCUGGCGGCAUGCCUUACACAUGCAAGUCGAACGGCAGCGCGGGGCAACCUGGCGGCGAGUGGCGAACGGGUGAGUAAAAUAUCGGAACAUACCCUAGAGUGGGGGAUAACGUAGCGAAAGUUACGCUAAUACCGCAUACGCACUAAGGUGGAAAGUGGGGGGAUCUUCGGACCUCAUGCUCAUGGAGUGGCCGAUAUCUGAUUAGCUAGUUGGUGAGGUAAAGGCUCACCAAGGCGACGAUCAGUAGCUGGUUUGAGAGAACGACCAGCCACACUGGAACCUGAGACACGGUCCAGACUCCUACGGGAGGCAGCAGUGGGGAAUUUUGGACAAUGGGGGCAACCCUGAUCCAGCAAUGCC
rnacentral:rRNA from 1 species